rnacentral:ncRNA from 1 species
UGAGAUAGAGGAUGCACCUGGUCAGGAGUAGAUAUCCCCAAGGAUAUGCAGAUCCGGGAUAUAUGAAAGGGACGGGUGCCGAAGUGAGGAAGGGGCUGCUUCCCCUCUGAACUGGGCGUAUGGAUAAUAUCCAUGCGACUGUCGCGAAGAAACGCGGAGAGCUAUCC